UGUUUUUUUCUGCAUGCUUUAUAUUUGCUGGCAGCUGAUUAGGCUGUGCCCACCAGAUUAAGGGUGGGUCUGCCUUCCCCAGCCCACGGACUCAAAUGUUAAUCUCCUUCAGCAACACCCUCACAGACACAUCCAGGGGAUCAGUACUUUGUAUAUCCUUCAAUCCAAUCAAGUUGAUACUCAGUAUUAACCAUCACAAGUCCACCCCUUGUCAACUUGAACCCAUACACAUCUCCUGAGAUCAUACAUAAUCUUCAAAUAAAGAUAAUAAUAUCAUAAUUACCCAAAUACUAUUACAGAAAGUUAACAACACUUAAAUGUGAUAUGAAGUCAAAAAAUCUCAUGUCACGUGAUAAAGAAAAAGGAAAUAGAAGGAAGACAUUUUCUUAGUACAAGUGUAUAUAUGCACAAACAUGUUUUUAACAAAAGAAGAAGGAAAUACUCGUGAUAACAGUCCUCGUUUCCAUAGCUGGUCAUGUGGUUAUAGCUGGUAUUGAUGAUUACCUUUUAUCUACUAUUUAUUCUGUGUUUUCCUUGCCUUCAGCAAGCACCUCAGCAGGUCGUGGGUUUUUUCCUGCUGGAGUAAACCAAACCUUCAUUCCUGAGGGGUCUGGACCAUUUGUAGUCCUGCCUGAAUUGGGCUGUUGUAGUUUCCCAUUGACCUUAAUCACAGGGCAUGGUAAUACUAUGAGAAGCCCUAAUGGAUCUCCUAUAUUCCAUGAAUACUCUUCGUUACUUCCAUGCUG
rnacentral:lncRNA from 1 species